AAGGUUCGCGCCAUAACACGUGCAGUCGAGCGGUAGCACAGAGAUCUUGCUCUCGGGUGACGAGCGGGCGAUAGGAGGGAGUAAUGUCUGGGAAACUGCCUGAUGGAGGGCUUAUAACUACUGGAAACGGUAGCUAAUACCGCAUAACGUCGCAAGACCAAAGUGGGGGACCUUCGGGCCUCAUGCCAUCAGAUGUGCCCAGAUGGGAUUAGCUAGUAGGUGGGGUAACGGCUCACCUAGGCGACGAUCCCUAGCUGGUCUGAGAGGAUGACCAGCCACACUGGAACUGAGACACGGUCCAGACUCCUACGGGAGGCAGCAGUGGGGAAUAUUGCACAAUGGGCGCAAGCCUGAUGCAGCCAUGCCGCGUGUAUGAAGAAGGCCUUCGGGUUGUAAAGUACUUUCAGCGGGGAGGAAGGCGAUAAGGUUAAUAACCUUGUCGAUUGACGUUACCCGCAGAAGAAGCACCGGCUAACUCCGUGCCAGCAGCCGCGGUAAUACGGAGGGUGCAAGCGUUAAUCGGAAUUACUGGGCGUAAAGCGCACGCAGGCGGUCUGUCAAGUCGGAUGUGAAAUCCCCGGGCUCAACCUGGGAACUGCAUUCGAAACUGGCAGGCUAGAGUCUUGUAGAGGGGGGUAGAAUUCCAGGUGUAGCGGUGAAAUGCGUAGAGAUCUGGAGGAAUACCGGUGGCGAAGGCGGCCCCCUGGACAAAGACUGACGCUCAGGUGCGAAAGCGUG
rnacentral:rRNA from 1 species